GGGAAAGUUGGGAGGACAAUUAGAUGCAGUCCUCUUGUGGACCGCAUCAAAUUAAAAAAAAUGAUACGGUUUUUUUAAAAUCUGAUGCGGUUUGGUGGGUCGCAUCAGAUUUUUCGUUUAAUUCUCUAGGCCUACUUGCUCCCUUAGAACGGCCCAAAAGGAACGACCCAAAAGGAACAGCCCAAAAGGAACAGCCCAAAAGGAACGGGCCAUUUCUCUCGCCUAAUAUGACAAACGCCUCUCCUUUCAAACGCCUCUCCUCUUUUUUGUUUCCAAAGCUCGAGUGAACAUGAAGAACCUAAAAUCUUGGAAAGUUUAGCGAUGGCGGCACUUCAGUACUUGGAAACACAGAAAAACUCGCAUCCAGAGCUCUCAUAAUGGUACAAUACUCUCGAGCUUGAGAAAUUCGUCGUUCUCGCAGUAUUUCAGGUGACAUAAGAGAGAUGCUUCCUAACGGGACAAUAAAGAUCAUCAUUUAUUUUGGGAUGGGAUGGAGGAAAUAAUUUGGUUGUGAAGUUGUAUGUGCAACUUUUCAACGUCUUAAAUGUAGACCUUAUUCUUAUGUAUCUAAAUAUUUAUGUUUAUGCUUCAA